rnacentral:rRNA from 1 species
ACGGGAGGCAGCAGUGGGGAAUAUUGGGCAAUGGGCGAAAGCCUGACCCAGCAACGCCGCGUGAAGGAAGAAGAUCUUCGGAUUGUAAACUUCUUUUAUGAGGGACGAAGGACGUGACGGUACCUCAUGAAUAAGCCACGGCUAACUACGUGCCAGCAGCCGCGGUAAUACGUAGGUGGCGAGCGUUAUCCGGAUUUACUGGGUGUAAAGGGCGCGUAGGCGGGGUUGCAAGUCAGAUGUGAAAUCCCGGGGCUCAACCCCGGAACUGCAUUUGAAACUGUAGCCCUUGAGUAUCGGAGAGGCAAGCGGAAUUCCUAGUGUAGCGGUGAAAUGCGUAGAUAUUAGGAGGAACACCAGUGGCGAAGGCGGCUUGCUGGACGACAACUGACGCUGAGGCGCGAAAGCGUGGGGAGCAAACAGGAUUAGAUACCCUGGUA